CCCGGCAUGGAACGCUGUGCGGUAUGCUUAACACAUGCAGUCGAACGGUCUCUUCGGAGAUAGUGGCGGACGCGUUAGUAACGCGUGAGAAUCUAGCUUCAGGUCGGGGACAACCCCUGGAAACGGUGGCUAAUACCGGAUGUGCCGAAAGGUGAAAGAUUUAUUGCCUGAAGAUGAGCUCGCGUCUGAUUAGCUAGUUGGUGUGGUAAGAGCGCACCAAGGCGACGAUCAGUAGCUGGUCUGAGAGGAUGAUCAGCCACACUGGGACUGAGACACGGCCCAGACUCCUACGGGAGGCAGCAGUGGGGAAUUUUCCGCAAUGGGCGAAAGCCUGACGGAGCAAUACCGCGUGAGGGAGGAAGGCUCUUGGGUUGUAAACCUCUUUUCUCAGGGAAUAAAAAAAUGAAGGUACCUGAGGAAUAAGCAUCGGCUAACUCCGUGCCAGCAGCCGCGGUAAUACCGAGGAUGCAAGCGUUAUCCGGAAUGAUUGGGCGUAAAGCGUCCGCAGGUGGCACUGUAAGUCUGCUGUUAAAGAGCAAGGCUCAACCUUGUAAAGGC
rnacentral:rRNA from 2 species